UAAUCUUUAACUCAAAAUAUAUCCGUGAUCCCAUAAAAAUCUGAAGAGAUAAUGUUUAACCCCCAACGUUUAUUGUUGAUCCCCAUGAAACACAGGUGUUAGCAAACUAAGAAAACAACUGAAACCACCAAAAAACAAGAGGAGCCUGAUGUUACACGUUUGAGAAGAGAAAGAGACAUGUAUCCCUUACUCUCUUCCUUAUUAGGUUUGGAAUUGAAAUUAGGAACUUUUUUAGGCUGCAUCUUUAAUUCUUUUCUUAAAUCUUUUAUGCUAUUUUUCAUGUUUGUUGAUUAUAAUUAAAAUUUUAAAAAAUAUGUUCAGUUUUUUAGGACUGGCAACGGCAACAGUCCACGAGGUCAUUAUCCAAUUGAAGGAUUUAGAUUUAUUCUUGUUUUCGCUAUAGGGACUUAGAGUGUAGUCAGUCACACAAUUUUAUUCUUAAUGAUAUCUGCCAUUAGAAAAGCACUUGGAGUAACGAGAGCAGGUGAUAGUGAUACCACUCAAUUUGCAGUUUGCAUUUCACUGAGUGGAAGUGUAAAAGCCAGAAAAUUAUUUAUCAACACCCACAUAUUAAUUUGAAGUAUCGUUUGUAUUAGGAUUCUAUCCAUUAUUUUCAGCUUUUAUUUUUUGGCUGGAGCUUUGCCAAGAAGUUGUUUGGAGCUGAUUAUUAGAAUAUUUAAAAAGAAAAAAAUUAAUGCUUCAUAAUCUCUAUUUAGCAUUUAUUUUGCUGUUUCUUUUAGGUUCUGGGAUAGAAAGAAUUAGAAUGCAUUUUUAUUUCAAUUUUAAAGUUUCAAAUUUUGUGUCGAUCUGAGAAAAUCUUUAUGAUAAUUUCCUUUAUAUAUGAGAAGCCCUCUAAUCUGCUGUGAAUGAAACCAUAGUUAAUGGAGGUGUAACCUUUUUGUCCUCGAAUUCUUGUGAAUGAGAUGAAAAAUUUAAGGAGCUGUUAGAGAAUGCAUAGAAGAUGCAUGAUACAGGUAUCUUUCAAAGUUCAUUUUCUUUAAUGCAAAGGAAAAGAGAAAGAACUCCUAAAAGAAAUAAUCCAAACGUGAUUGUUGUAUUUUGGCUGCAGCUUUGGCUAUGUAUUGGAGUAAUUACAUACUUUGUUGUGGUUAUGAUUUUGGAAGCUACUGUUAAAAGAGAUGAUAAUAUGUACAACAGGGAGGCAAAAUGAAGAAAAAGCCAAGCAAUACUUUAUACGUUUGAAGAAACUAACAACAUAGCUAAGUAAUGGUAGCUCUACUUACCAUCAAUUAGCAACACAAAUAGUGUGACAUAAAGUUUUCACUUCUCUGGAAUUUACUAUUGGUAAACUACAGGUAAGUUAGAUUUGUUGUUACGCAAGUUACUCCUUGGUCGAAAAAUAAAAAUACGCCAUGAUAUAUCACAUGUAAUGACGUUGAGAUUGCUUUGUGCAAUAUUUAUGCAUCUUGAGCUACUUAUCUUGGAUGAUUCGUUAUUAUGUCAUUCAUAUGCUUGGUUGAAACAGAGCAGGAGGUAGCACUUGAGGGCUUUGCCGGAGUAGUUCGUAUGGAACCUGAGAAGGCUGAGUGGUAAGGGGUUUAUUAAGUUAAUAAACUCCUUAUCAAAAAAAGUAUGAUAGCUGGUAUAUUGAUCAACUACUUCCCAUCUGUGUUUGCUUUAUAAAGAAAAUUGAGUUUUAUCUAUAGGAUUUAUGAUGUUGAAAAUUGGUGGAGUAUUGGAUGUUGAUGUUUUCUUAGUUAGAAAAAUUAGUUUGAUGAUUUUACACAAUUAGAUUAUAAGGCGAUAACAUUCUAUAUAAUUAACCCCAAUAUAUUCUUCUNN
rnacentral:lncRNA from 1 species